rnacentral:lncRNA from 1 species
GGAUCAUGGAGGCCAGGACGUCCUUCAGGUUUGUGGCGGCGGUGGCAGCGUGGCGGGCAGCAAAGAGGACACAUGGAGAGUUCUUGGGCCCGCGGAGGCGCGCGGCCGCGCGGCUGCCGGCAGCGAGGAGCGUCAUGGCGGCGCGGGGCGGAGCGGACGGAGCGGGCGCGGGACCGGGACCGGGACCGGAGCGAACGGCGGCGGCGGCGGCGCCCGGGGGUCCUCGGCGCGGCGGGCGGGGCGAGGCGCGGCGCCGCGUACGUUAUUAGCAUAGCCCCGCCCCCGCCCGCCCCCCUCGGGGUUGAGCCGUUCGCUAUUGGCCGAGCCCGGUCCCGAUGGGGGCGGGGCUACGCAAAUGAGGCUACGGGGGGGGCCGGGCUAUAGGUGGCCUCCGCGUUCGCCUGAUCUGGGCGUGGGGUGCGGUGAUGCGAGCCCCGCCCCGUGACGUCACCGACUCGCCGUGACGUCACCGGAUCGCCGCGUGACGUCAUCCCUCCAUAUCGGGGCUCCCCCCCCCCUCUCUCCCAACGCGUGCCCUCCUUAUUGCUCGGCUGUGGCUCAGGGCUGCUGUGUUGUCACCACGCGGCGCUCACCCCAUGACACUGCCCUGCACUGCGGUGACAUCGGAGGACACGGGGGGGGGAGGGGGGGGCAGAGUGCCCAAUAACCCGGGGCCAUUGUCCUGGUGACCCCACGGUGGCACCACGCGACAAGUGGGUGGGCCCCCCCACAGCACCCAGGGGCUGCCUGCAGGGACGGGGUGUGAUGGGGGCACCGGGGCAGAGACAGCACCGAGCUACGUAAGGAAGAGCAGUCUGUGGUCAAAGGGCACUACAGGGCCACCAUCAGUCCUGUGGGUAUGUGCCCUCCCUGCCCCAGCCCCACACCCGCCCCCAUUGAGGUUCACAGCAGCGACACCAGCCCACAUUGGGCCCCGUUUAUUGCCUCCUGGAUUGGGCCCCAGGUGCCCAACAGACCCCCAGCAGCACCGCUGUCCCUAUAGCAGCCCCAGGCAGCAGCAGAGAGAGCCUGGAGCCACACAUCAGCCACCGGAACGGCCCCAACCAAAGGACGCAUCCCUGCCCGCAUGGCAGCAGAUGGACAGCGAAUAAAUAGGACGGGAGAAUCCAGAAUCCCCCCGCCCACAGUGGGGAUGGGGCCGAGGCUGUGGGGCAGCGUGGUGUUGGUGGGGGGUCGGCGCAGCCCGGGGCCGGCGGCGUCACAGCUCAUCAUGCGGGAGGUGCAGCGCGUGGUCACACAGAUCCGUCCUCUUGCUGCACAGCCGGUCCUUGACGUUGUCGGCCUCGUGGGACAGGAACUCAAUGAGCUCAUCCUCGUACUCCUCAGCGAUGCUCUCACACGCAAACUUGAGGCUGGAGGCCACGUCGCCGUCGAUUUUGACCCCGGACAGGUCCAGUUUGGUCCCGUCGUGGGAGAUGACCCUCACGUAGCUCUUCCGCUGCGUGGUCGGGUCCGCCUUCUCGCCGUACUCCUUCAUCUUCUCGCAGAUGCGCUCCAGCAGCUCCGUCAGGUGCGCCUCCGAGCGGGCGUACGGCACCUCCACCACCGAUUGGCUGCCGUCGGGGUUGAUGCGGAACGAACCCAUCUGGAUGGUUUUCCGGGGGUCGACCUGGGCGAUCUCCCACUCCAGCUCGUCCACCAGCGCCCGGCACGCUCCGCAGUGCAGGUCCUGACUCCGCCGGCCGCUCACCGCGGGCAGAAGAGCGGCCACAGCCGCGGCCACACACAGCGGGGCCGGGAUGGAGACGCGGCCCCUCCUCAUCGUCCUCAUCCUCCGCCCCGGCCGCGCGCGGCCCGCUCCCCGCCCGCCCCUCACCCGCCGGGCCCCGCUCGAGCCCCCGUCCGCCACCGCCGCCCCCCGGUCCCGCCGUCCCCGGGGCUGCCCGUCGCGGUGCCUGUCCCGCCGCUCUCCCUCCGGCCGCUCAACGGCGGAGAACGGCCCCUUCCAGAGGGCGGCGGUGGAGGCCGCCGGGGCGCUGGUGGCCGCCGUAGGGGUCGAGGCCGCUCCUCGGAGCGCCGCCGGGCCGCCCCGCACGCAGGCAGCGCCUCGGCCACCCCGCGGCGGGGAGAGGCCCCGAACUGGCAGGACCCGGCCCGCGUGGCGGU